UUUCUCUCCUCUUCCCUCAUGUAGUCAGGCUACUUUUCCAGUAUGUUCAGUGGAGCUUGGAAAGAAUCUAGCAUGAACAUCAUAGAGUUGGAGAUUCCUGACCCAAACAUUGAUACAGAAGCUCUACAGGUGGCUUUUGGCUCGCUGUACAGAGAUGAUGUAUUAAUAAAACCCAGUCGAGUAGUUGCCCUUUUAGCAGCAGCCUGCAUGCUGCAGCUUGAUGACUUAAUCCAGCAAUGUGGUGAAACAAUGAAGGAAACCAUUAAUGCAGAAACUGUGUGUGGUUAUUACAAUUCAGCGGCAACAUAUGGGUUAGACUCUGUGAAGAAAAAGUAAGAAUUACUUUCUCUGA